UACGGAGGGUGCAAGCGUUAUCCGGAUUCACUGGGUUUAAAGGGUGCGUAGGCGGCUUUGUAAGUCAGUGGUGAAAUAUGGCAGCUCAACUGUCAAGGUGCCAUUGAUACUGCGGAGCUUGAGUACAGAUGAGGUAGGCGGAAUUGACGGUGUAGCGGUGAAAUGCUUAGAUAUCGUCAAGAACACCUAUAGCGAAGGCAGCUUACUAGGCUGUAACUGACGCUGAGGCACGAAAGUGUGGGGAUCAAACAGG
rnacentral:rRNA from 1 species